AGAGUUUGAUCAUGGCUCAGGAUGAACGCUGGCGGCGUGCCUAACACAUGCAAGUCGAACGGAGUUAUUAUUAUGAAGCCUUCGGGUGGAUUAAUAAUAACUUAGUGGCGGACGGGUGAGUAACGCGUGGGUAACCUGCCUCACACAGGGGGAUAACAGCUGGAAACGGCUGCUAAAACCGCAUAAGCAUACAUUGUCGCAUGACAGAGUGUGAAAAUAUUUAUAGGUGUGAGAUGGGCCCGCGUCUGAUUAGCUAGUUGGUAAGGUAACGGCUUACCAAGGCGACGAUCAGUAGCCGGCUUGAGAGAGUGACCGGCCACAUUGGGACUGAGACACGGCCCAAACUCCUACGGGAGGCAGCAGUGGGGAAUAUUGCACAAUGGGCGAAAGCCUGAUGCAGCGACGCCGCGUGAGUGAAGAAGUAUUUCGGUAUGUAAAGCUCUAUCAGCAGGGAAGAAAAUGACGGUACCUGACUAAGAAGCCCCGGCUAACUACGUGCCAGCAGCCGCGGUAAUACGUAGGGGGCAAGCGUUAUCCGGAUUUACUGGGUGUAAAGGGAGCGUAGGUGGUUUGGUAAGUGAGAUGUGAAAGCCCGGGGCUCAACCCCGGGACUGCAUUUCAAACUGCUAGACUAGAGUGCAGGAGAGGUAAGUGGAAUUCCUAGUGUAGCGGUGAAAUGCGUAGAUAUUAGGAGGAACACCAGUGGCGAAGGCGGCUUACUGGACUGUAACUGACACUGAGGCUCGAAAGCGUGGGGAGCAAACAGGAUUAGAUACUCUGGUAGUCCACGCCGUAAACGAUGAAUACUAGGUGUCGGGGGUCACACGACCCUCGGUGCCGCAGCUAACGCAAUAAGUAUUCCACCUGGGGAGUACGUUCGCAAGAAUGAAACUCAAAGGAAUUGACGGGGACCCGCACAAGCGGUGGAGCAUGUGGUUUAAUUCGAUGCUAAA
rnacentral:rRNA from 1 species